GAGCAGGAGUUCGGCCAGGAGACGAAGAAGGAUGCGUUUAACCUACGGGUCAGGCGAUGUGGCCAGAACGUUUUUUCAGGGGAUCAGAUGAAAGGACCCGGCGCCGUAUGAAAAUUUCAGCGAUGAAUUCAUGCUCGUAGCGGAGCAAGUUGUGCGAGAUAAGUCGGAGGAGAUCGUUUCGCUGGGACCACACGCAGAAACCUUUAUUUUUGACGCUGAAAUCAUCGAGUUUUGAUUCGUCGUAUACCAUCGUUAUUACGAGUCGUCCCGAUAAACUGACGUUAGACCAGCAUUUAUUAGAUAAUAAUCAGAGAAGAUCGUCGGAGGAAAAUUCAACUUUCCCGCCCAAAGAAAAAUAAACGUUUCUAUAAAAUUUCAAAUUCAAACAAAAAGUGAUAUUUAUUAACUUAAUUAAUUUGUAAUAUAAAUG
rnacentral:misc_RNA from 1 species